ACCCCACUGCUAUCGGGAUAGGACUAAGACAUGCUAGUCGAGCGCACUCAAGCCAACAUGAGAGCGCGGCGCACAGCUCAGUAACACGUGGCUAACCUGCCCUCGGGACGGGGACACCCCCGGGAAACUGGGGCUAAUCCCCGAUAGGUGAAGAACUCUGGAAUGAGUCUCCGCCCAAAAGACGCUUACGUUAUGCUCGCAGGCGCCGCCCAAGGAUGGGGCCGCGACCGAUCAGGUUGUUGGUGAGGCAACGGCUCACCAAGCCUUUUACCGGUGCGGGCCGUGGGAGCGGGAGCCCGGAGAUGGGCACUGAGACAAGGGCCCAGGCCCUACGGGGCGCAGCAGUCGCGAAAACUUUGCAAUACACGAAAGUGUGACAGGGCUAUCCCGAGUGCCAUCCGCUGAGGAAGGCUUUUACCCAGUGUAGAUAGCUGAGGGAAUAAGGAGAGGGCAAGACUGGUGUCAGCCGCCGCGGUAAUACCAGCUCUCCGAGUGGUGUGGAUGUUUAUUGGGCCUAAAGCAUCCGUAGCUGGCUGGGCAAGUCCCCUGUUAAAUCCACCGAUUUAAUCGUUGGUGUGCGGGGGAUACUGUUCGGCUAGGGGACGAGAGAGGCCGACGGUAUUUUCGGGGUAGGGGUGAAAUCCUAUAAUCCCGGGAAGACCACCAGUGGCGAAGGCUGUCGGCUAGAACGCGCCCGACGGUGAGGGAUGAAAGCUGGGGGAGCGAACCGGAUUAGAUACCCGGGUAGUCCCAGCUGUAAACGAUGCAGGCUAGGUGUUUGGGCGGCCACGUGCCGCUCUAGUGCCGCAGGGAAGUCGUUAAGCCUGCCGCCUGGGGAGUACGGCCGCAAGGCUGAAACUUAAAGGAAUUGGCGGGGGAGCACCACAAGGGGUGAAGCUUGCGGUUU
rnacentral:rRNA from 1 species